rnacentral:misc_RNA from 1 species
UGAGUGCAGCAGUCCAGCCAC